rnacentral:misc_RNA from 1 species
GCGAAGUACCGGAACGGUUCCUUUCAGAGAAGUGUUGGAAACUCGCCGGCGAGAAGAUCCGAUCCGUCUCCGGGUCGAGUGAGAUCCGGAUCCGGAAGGGAAUCUCGGGUACAAAGGAAGGAUAAUGGGGAAUGUUCCGGUAGGAGAUCGAGGUCACCGGCGAUGAGGACGGAGAAUGGAGGAUACGGGUCGGGUUUAGGGAGGAGUCCAUCGGUGAGGAAAACGGGUAAGUCACCGGGAAGGGUGAGAUCCGAAUUGGGUGAUCGGAUCCGGAAAAUGGAUGAGAGAGAUGGAAAUGGAGAAAAUAUUUGGGCACCGACAAAU